rnacentral:tRNA from 1 species
GGGAUCUUGGUCUAGUGGUAUGAUUCUCGCUUCGGGAGAAGCACCACCCGUGAUCCACGGGUUUCGGGCUGCGCCUUGUGCGAGCUUGCGAGAGGUCGGGGGUUCGAUUCCCCCAGGUCCCC